rnacentral:rRNA from 1 species
GUCUACGGCUGUACCACCCUGAACGCGCCCGAUCUCUUCUGAUCUCGGAAGCUAAGCAGGGUCGGGCCUGGUUAGUACUUGGAUGGGAGACAUCUUUUGCAUCACUCCCAAAAUGCCAAUAAUA